GCCGGGAUGGUGAAAGUGGUAGACACAGCAGACUUAAAAUCUGCCGACGCGCAAGCGUUGUACGGGUUCGACUCCCGUUCCCGGCACCA
rnacentral:tRNA from 1 species